rnacentral:lncRNA from 1 species
GAAACUCUCUUCUAUAAAUAAAGAUCAUUCUCUCCCAAUAUUUCCGAAUGUCAUUUGUACUAAAUCAUUCACUAGUACUCACAAAAGGAGAGCUUGAACCUAUGUACUUGUGUAAACCCUUCACAAUUAAUGAGAACUCCUCUACUUUGUAGACAUAGCCAAUCUGGGUGAACCAUGUACAUCUUGUGUUUGCUUCCCUGUCUCUAUCCAUUUACAUACUUAUCCACACUAGUGACCGGAGCAAUCUAGCGAAGGUCACAAACUUAACAUUUUCUGUUGUACCAAAGUCCUCGCUGAUUUUGUGCAUCAACAUAGUUGUCGUCGGUUUUCUUAAAGGAUAAAUCCAAGAGAUAAUGCCCUUUCUGAUGUAUGUGCAAAUCUUAACACUUUGUAGUCAUCAAUUCUUCAUUGUGUUUAUGUAUUCUUUGAGUUGGUUGAUACAAUUAAAUUUAUCUCUGAAUCAGUUUUGAUAAAUGUUUGCUAGAUGCUCGAAAUGCUUGAGGAAAAAUGAGAGUACUACAGAAGGCUGCUGCAAAAGGGUAAGAAUAGCUGUUGAGAGCUACUACAGUUUUUGUUAAUUAAGGGUCGACAACUUACUUUGGCAGUUGUAAUCAUCAAUUCUUGACUCGAGCAUUACUUAUGAAGAAUGGAGUUGUAUAACUUUUGGAGUUGACAUUUUGAGAAAUAGCUUUAAAUUUUUGUUUUCAUUUUGCUGAUUUUCAAAGUGGUUGUGGGAAGCGGUUCUUUUGAACCAGAUUAAUUGUUUCACUGAUUGCAUGUUGAUUGUGUUUUUGAAUUUUGGGAGUCGAUCUUAAAAUGUAGCGGGCUUUUAAGGGAUUCGGGGUUUUUCCUAAUUUGGUGUUUGGUACGUGUGUGUUGUGCUGAGGUUGAAUUUAAAUUUUGCAGAUUGGUUUCUUAUCGGCUCACUUCACCCAUCUCUUGGUUAUUUGAAUUCUUUAGAGAUGCUUGUAUUGAUUUGUGAUUUUGUUGGAUUUUACUCUGGUGAAAAUUGUUCAUCUGCACUGGCUCAUUUUAGGACGCGACUCCAUUCUUGUUUAUUACUAAGUCUUAAUGGUGUGGGGUAUAUGUAAAUGAAUUCAAUUAGAACUCACUCUGUUUUGUAGCUGCCUUGAUCAUUAGUUGGUGAUGUUUGGGAGAUUGAGAGUAGGAUAGGAUAAUUUGUUCAUCUGCGCUGGCACUGACUUCUAUCCAUUUUGAGAGGAAAGCAGAUUUGGGUUCCAACUAAUCCUCGAGGGACUGAAAGCCUAGCGCCUGGUAUCAUUGCAUCUGAGUCGGAUGAUUUGCCCAGUGAGGUGUGCAGCUGCUACUCUUUAACUUUAGUAUGAAUGACACGUCCUGUUUUGUUGGAGAAUUGGAUUAUUUUUUCGGACCUGUUCUCUAAUCUUAGCCUUUUCUUUUGGAGGUGUAUCUUGUAACCUUUACCGUAGGUUGUGCUCAGAAAUAUAGUAUCUAUGCUUUCUUUAUCUUAUUCUGGAAUACCCACGCUGAUUGGGAGAUCAUUUGUUGUUCCAAGGUUGAAGGUGGUCUUCAUAUUCAUGAACUUGUCAAUUUAAUAUGUUCUUAGUUGAAGUUGUAGAAGGGUUGCAGUGAAUUUGUGGAGAUUUUUUAUAUGGUAAAUUAUGACUGCAAACCCCUUGAAAAUCUACUUUUUCCAGGUAUUUAUAUGAUCAUAUCUCAGUGUUGUCCUCAACUCUAAUCACUUUCAGUUGGACUUGAGUUAACGUUAUUCUUACGAAAUUUGUGGGUUUGAUUUUGGGUGCAGGCUGCAGCUGAUGAUCAGAUUCAAGUUAUAGAGAUGAUUAAGCUCUUGGAAACAAAGGGUUCGAAGACUUUUUAAAGUUUGGUUCCAACAUUUGUACAAAAUUCUAUAAAAUAUCAGUUAUGCAAAUUU